UACGGGGGGGGCGAGCGUUGUUCGGAAUUACUGGGCGUAAAGGGCGCGUAGGCGGUUGGAUAAGUCAGCCUGUGAAAACCACGAGCUCAACUUGUGGCCUGCAGUUGAGAGCUGUCUGGCUAGAGUGUGGGAGAGGGAAGUGGAAUUCCUGGUGUAGCGGUGAAAUGCGUAGAUAGUCAGGAGGAACACCGGUGGCGAAGGCGGCUUCCUGGACCACAACGUGACGCUGGAGGCGCAGAAAGCUAGGGGAGCAAACAGG
rnacentral:rRNA from 1 species